UCAGACUUGGAAAAACAUGUAGCCAUGUUGCUACAUUAUUAUUUAAAAUGAUGAUGGCAGUGAGUACACUGUGGGGGCUGAAUAGAGAAUCCAAGACAAGUGUUUCUGUACAUGGAACCAGUUUUAUAGAAAGAAGAUCACUAUCAAACGGUUUCACAGAUGACCUUGGUCAACUUAAAGCCUUGACAGGAAAGAAAGAGAAAACAGAAUCAUGAGGAUGAGACGGCAAUGCCCACUGAAGAUGAAAAUGAGGCACCUGAAAGUUUAACAGCAUGUGUGCACAACAGCUAACAUGUGUUUUAAUAAAGUGAUACAGGUGGAAGGAAAAGCAUGAUAGACACCUCAGAUGCUAGAACUUAACAUCUGUAAAGACGCAUGGUAUGCCAAUAGAUGCAAGUUGAAUUAACACACCAAGCCGACUUCAAGGUCUUCUGAUUCUUGUAACUUGUUGCACAACUCCAGACAGAAGCAAAACAUGAACAGGCAAUUAAAAAAAAACAAUUUGUCCGCAAUUUGUUUAGCAAUAAACAGAAAUCUAAUCUGAGUGCAUGAUUUUUUAACUAAAUUGAAUUUUCUUUAAAAGUGUAAGGAUGUAUACAAUGAAUUGAUGCUAUUUUUUUAUAUUUUCAUAAAAUUUUAUUACCACAUGAGACCCAUGAUAAAAAUCGCAACUUCUCGAGCUAAAACCUUUCAGCCAACAGGAAGCGGCCAACACGCACGAACAAUUUUAAUUCGUACUCUAUAUUUUCGCAUAACUAGAACCCCGCGAGUCGGCUGUGUCGCCUUGUGAACAGUAUAGCUGUUAUCUAUGCAUUUUCUUGUUAAAUAUAUGUUAAUUAUAAACACCGCUCUUUCAAUGUACAUGUACCUUUAACUUUAGUGGCAUUUGAAUUGAUUGUAACAAUGUUACAUCAGGAUUAUUAAAACUGUUAUAUUAUCAAAAAUAAAAAAAAUCAUGGAACAGUUUUACACUGACAGAUCAAAUGGAGGACUCUGUGAUGGAUUCUUAAGCACUGCACUUAAGGUCAAAGAAAAAGGCUUACAUACCAAAUUUGGAGUCAAUCAAACUUAUAGUGACCAAGUUAUGCUCGGACAAGCCAAUUUUGUAAGAAAAUUAACUAAGGGCAAUAACUCAAAAUCAUGAAGCGCAGAGUACAAGUUCUUGUGUAUAUCACUUCUCAGCAAGAUCUAUCAUCCUAUGAAGUUUCAAGUCAAUAGCUUUAAAAGUGUAGGAGAAUUGGCCUGGACAAAAAUAAAGUUUUAUAAUUAACAAAGGACAAUAAGUCUAAAAAUCAUGAAGUACAGAGUACCGGUUAUUGUGCACUGCACUUUUUCUUAAUAAGAUCUAUCAUCCCAUGAAGUUUCAAGUACAAAGCUUUUAUAGUUAAGGAGAAAUGGCCCGGACAAAAAUAAAGUAUGAACAUAAACAGAGGGCAAUAACUCAACAAUUAAGAAGUGCAGAGUAACGAUUCCAAUGCAUUGCACUUUGGGUCAUUGAAAGAAGCGUGUUUUCCAAGCUUUGAGUCAAUCCGACUUAUAGUGAUUGAGUUAUGCUCCAGACAAGUGUAAGGCAUGUUUUUUUUGCAUGUAAUAUGGCGUAAGACAAAGAGAAAAAUCUUUCACACGUGUUGUUCUCGUUAUUUCUAAAUGAUCUUUCACAGUUUAUGCUUGACAAAUAUGCUGGUCUAUAUACACUUGCUAAUUAUUUGAAAAGCUUAUUAAGUAAUGAUCGAGGAGUAAUGAGCAGAUGAGCUUCAGAUUGCAUUAAAUGCUAUGCUAGAAUAUUGUAAUGUUUGGAAUUUAAAAAUGACCUCUGCCAAAAAAAAGGCUGUAAUAUUUUCUAGUGGCAGAAAUCGUAUGGAAGAUGCAACUCAAUUUUCUUUUGAUAAUGAGAACUUAAGUGCUUUUUCUUAUCUAGAUAUUCAAUUUAUAGAAAAUGGUAAAUUUUCUAAAAUAUGAUAAACAAGAUCGACAAGGAAAGGCGGCGUUCAAUGAACGCAGCCCCCAUGGACAAGGAGGGGGACACCCACAAUGAACGCCGAACAAUCCCUUGAGGAUGAAAAUAUAACAACAUUGAUUGCAUGUACGGAGAGACUUUUUACAGCCGCCACGCGGUUGUGAGCAUAAAAUAUGAUAAUCAAGAUCGACAAGGAAAGGCGGCGUUCAAUGAACGCAGCCCUUAAACUAAAACUAGAAAACGUCUUACAGAUCAAGCGAAGAAAGCUAAGUUCUCUCUGAUAAAGUGUUACUAUCUGUAGAUCGUUUGAUAUAAUGAUUGUUCCUAUUCUUCCUUAUGGGUACGUUACGAUACCGAAAUCAACUUGAUUUCGGUAAAGUUACCGAAAUCAACUUUUCAUUACCGAUAUCAACUCGUAUAAUAACUAUAGCCUAGUACAAACUCAUUUUUAAUUUUAAAAAAUGAUGAAAAAAUGCAAUAUGGUCAUUGUACAUAUUUCUUUUAACAUUAGCUAAAUAUAUAAAUCUUGAGGUUUUGUUUAAAAAGCUACUCUGAGUACUGGAUUACCAUUAAAAUCAUGCUUCAUAAAUAAUUUAUACAUAAGAGAAUCUGUGUUUGACAUUAUCUUAAACCAAUAUGUAAUCAUUCUUAUCUUACGCAUAAAAUAUAGUGGAAGUCUUCCAAAUUCACCAUAUAAUGUAACAUUUGAUGUUUGUUUUCGAACUAAGUCUUGUAAAGUUUGCUUUAAAAAAUUCAUAUGAACCUUUUCAAUAUAUCAUGGCUCUGAAGUUUGGGAAAAUAAAAAAAAUAAAGAGUAUUGAUCAGUUUCAGCUUAAAUUUUACAAAAUUGUACUUAACCUCAAGCAAAGUACUCACAAUUUUAUGUUAUAUGGUGAACUUAGCUUUACUCCGAUAUCUUUGCAAAUUAAAAGAAGAAUCAUUAACAGAUGUAAGCUUUUGAAGGUACAGAUGAUAAGAUUUGUAAUAUUUUAUUUAAAAUAGAGUAAAAUAAGAAUCCCUUAAGAAAGCCCAACGCGGCAAAAUUGAAAAUGUUGCAGGCUCGGUUUGAUUGAGCCUGUUCAUGGACGGUACUGUCAAGUGCAAACUACCGUCCACGCCACCUAGCACCGGCUUAAGCAGAAUUCAACAUUUAACAUGAACUUGCAAAAUUUAUAAGACUGCAUACUCUGUAUUUGUUAGAUAUAAAACUGAAUUACCGUGGCUUUCUUUUGUGAAUGAUACUUUGGACGAACUUGGUUUAUCAAACUAUUGGUAAAGCCAAUCUGUACCUAUAUGUCCGCUUAAUUUCAAAAGUCUUGUUAAGUCCAAACUUGGAGAUCAGUUCACCCAAAUUUGGAACAGUGACGUCCAAUCUUUAAACAAAUGUUUAAACUAUCUUUUAUAUAAAUCAGAGUUUGUAGAAGAGUAUUUUAACAUACUUCCUUGGCAACUGUCUUCAGCUUUGUCAAAAAUCAUAAUAUGCCAAUUGAGAAAGAUAGAGAGAAACUUACGUAUAUGUAUUUUAUGUGAAUCAAACCAACUGGGUGACGAAUUUCAUUAUCUCUUUUAUUGUUCACAUUUUGUUUAUAGUAGACGUCAUUUAUUAAACCGCAUUAUUGUUAAUAUCCUAAUGCAUUGAAAUUUGAAAAUCACAUUUAAAAAUCAAAGCACAGAAGGCGCUGAAUUCGUUUGGGUCUCAGAAUGUCAGAAAGGUGAAGGUUGUGAGAUUAUAAACCAAAUUGUUUUUGUAUAGUGCCACCAAUUCUUUCCAGUGUUUUAACUGUAGUAAAUUAGCUAUUAGACUAAUUGCAACGCUGAUAGUCAAUUCAAUGUUUAUUUGACUUAAAAAAAAAAAGAAAAAAAAUGAGUUGCCUCAACUGGGAUUUGAACUCGAGACCUCUCGAUUCAUAAGCGAGCGUGCAAACCCCUCGGCCUCGGUGAAGUUAAAUGUAGUUGUAAAUGGCCCGAAGAAAACCAUAUUAUUCUAAAUUAUGGUUUGAAACUCUUAUUAUUUCGACGCUAAACACAGAUGUAAAUAAUCAUGGAGCUUACUGUAAGCAUGUAAAUCUAUAAAGAAUGAAACAAUAUUAGAAAUCUUCGACCAUUCGGGAACUACUUUGCUUGAAAAUUAAUGCGCCUGUCAUUUGACAAUCUUUACGCAUUGAUCUCCCCUGAAUUUUUCGGCGUUAGUGUACAUAUAAAGGGAAGUAACCGCUUCAAAAAAGUGGACUUCUUUAGGCAUUUGCAAUUAACAGCAUUAGACUCUGAAAUUUCGCUACCAUUAUUUGUUUGGUCUGACGACCCAAACAAAUAAUUAGACUCUGAAAUUUCGCUACCAUUAUUUGUUUGGUCUAAUGACCCAAACAAAUAAAAAACCUUGCUCCGGUGUGUAAAGAAAUAAUUACAACAUGCAAAUAACAAGUUUAAUACUGUAUCAUAUUAGUCUCCUAGAAAAUUCUGUUAAUGAAGCAUUAAUUUCGUUUAUCAUUAAGAAACUAGUCAUAUUUUAAUUUUAUUUUACGGGUACAAUAUAAUUGUCACUCCUUCUCCUGUAUUUAUGUCUAUUUCUCCUGUUUAUAUGUAUAUUUUUCUGUGUUCCGGCUGUAACAUGUUCACAAUUUUGUAUUUUAUGUCACAUGUUCUUAUGAACCAUGACAGUAUUAAAUAAAUCUUGGAAUUGUGAAAUCCUGUUACUCUUUGAAUAUUCCCUAUCGGUCUAACCAAAUAAUGUGACGGGUAUAAGCUAUAUAUUCGGCACUUAAGACCAAUCAUGGUCUACAUUUAUCAAUAUUGUAAAUGCUUGAAAUAAUCGUACAAAACAAACAAUAGAAUAUAAUUUUUACUGUUGAAAUUUAUUGAAAAUAGUUAAGAAUACAUACAAAGUUCGUAACUUUGAAACGACUCUUCUGUCUCUCGGACUCCGACCGAAUCUAACACAUAUACUGCCAUACCACCCUAUUAAGGUACCUAUUUGUUAUACUUUAAGUUUUUACUUUUCGGCAUUUGUCUAGUUGGGUGGUUCCAAUAUUCCUGCAUCACCCUUAGGAUAUGUUGCCUUCUUUUCAAUUUGUCUUUUGACGUCUUAUCUGUGUUUACAGGCUUCACAACAUCUGACCCCCUUUCAAAAUUCGAUUUUGUUUUUGUUCCGCCCAUUUUUUUCUCGUUUAGGGCACACGCUAUCUUUUACUUGGGGACCAUACGCCGCUUUUCAUGGAAUGGCACGAAAGUACGUAUCACAUUGAAGGUUACAUGAUAACCGCCAUAUGAACACAUCUGCGGAUGUUUCUAAAAUCAAAAUUUCUUAUUUUCUCUAUUUCAUACUUAAAUUAUGUUUCUUAUAUGUUCAAUGAGGAAAUAUGCGAUAUGAAUAUUAGUAGAGACAAAUUUAAUUUUCUGUAUAAACAAGAGCAAACACGUUAUACUGUUUUAACACUCGGCACUAAAGACAAAACAUAUACCUACAUUAAUCAAUAUUGUAAAUGCUUGAAAUAAUCGUAUAAACAAAUUCAGAAUGUAACAUUUACUGUUGAAAUUUAGUGAAAAUGAUUUAGAAUACGUACAAAGUUUAUAUCUUUGAAACGACUUUACUGUCUGUCCGACGGAUUGUGACACUUAUACUACCAUGCAACCCUAUGAAGGGCUUCCAUAUACUUUUAUGUUUCUUAUAUGUUCAAUGAGGAAAUAUGCGAAUUAAAUACUAACAGACACUUAUUUUCUGUACCAACAAGGGCAAUUUCUCUGUACCAACAAGAGCAAUUUCUCCAAACACGUCACUUUUUGAACACCCCCUAUCCGCCAACCCGCGUUUCUUACUCGUUAAAAUUUCUAGUACACUAUUUUUGUAUUACAAGGUUUGAUGCACUACAAGUUAAUAAACAUAUCAAGAACAUUUAAAGGUGGUCCUACAUGUCUAAAGUCUAUGGUUAAAUUCUGGAUUAGGUCAAUAACUCUACAAAUAUCAGAUGUCUUACUUCCGGAACUUCUGCAGAUGUUUCUAAAUUCAAAAUUUCGCCAUUUCCAUAUUUAAAUGUGAACUCUGUUUAAGCCGGUGCCAGCGGGCUGGACGGUAGUUUGCAGUCAACAGUACCGUCCAUGAACAGGCUCAAUCAAACCGAGCCUGCAACAUUUUCAAUUUUGUCGUUUUGAACUUUCUUUGGGGAUUCUAAUUUUCACUAUUUGACCACACAUGCAUACAUUAAAGUUCAUUUUCCUAAACAGCAAAGUACGUGAGGAACAACAUACCAGAAAUAUACAAUACAAUUGCAUGCAGUAUAUUUUAUUAGAGAUAAAAUUCAACAUUAUUUCUUAUUAAUGCUUCAUCCACUUGUCUGUAUCUUAAUUACUAUUCACUUUUUAUCUUUUUUUCAUUUUUCGGAAAUUAAAAAUCAUGACACGUAUGUUUGAAAAAAAAAUACCACCUGUAAUGAUUUCAUAAUUUAUCUUUGAUAUCAAUAAAUUCAUCUUAAACCUUUAUUAAUGAUUUCAUGACUAAUCUGGCUGUGAUAUCAAAAACUUCAUCUAUUCAAACCCCAUGAUGCAAAACUUGUCUUUAGAACAAAACAUUUCGCUCUUUUUAUUUGAUCUUUGGUACAAGUCUGCCAUUUCCCAUUCAAGUGACCCAGUUUAAGCCGACACCCUUUCUGGAACGUCAUGACUUGUCAUUAGAUGUCAACCUCCUAUAGUAGGGAAUUCUCUUUCACUUUCCAGUAUUUGUCUAUUCUCUAGCACUUAUCAAAGAAGACAGUGAACUAUUCCCACUUCCUUUUUAAGUUUUGUGUUAAAAUGUUUUCCUAUCAAUGUCAAACUCAUUUUGGGUAUUAAAUGCAAGAUGCCUUCUAUGCUGUUGUCGCAACAAAUGGGUGGUUGAAGUCAAGAGAACCUUCGACUUCUAUUUAUUUGAUGCUCGACCUCUACAUUAUAUCUAUAGCAACAUUAUAAUAUCAUUUAAAUCUUAUUCCACAACAUGGCAAAUGUCCUACUGAUCACAAGGAUUAAAUUAUUUUUGUGCUUCAUGAAAUUAUUUCAAAGAGUAUUUUCAUUUCUGUAAGUCACAUUUUUAUAAUGUAAAUGUAAUGAGAUUUUGUAAGAUGAUGCAUUAUCAGCCAUAUCACAUAACUAGUAGUUAGAAUGCUUGGGACUUUCAUAUGCAAUGCAUUCAAGCACGUAACUAAAUAUUUUAUGUAAAAACAAAAGAUAGUUCAUGUUUUAUGAAUAUUUCUCUAGAUUGAUUAAUUACGUAUUUUAAAAUCAAAACUACUAUGCACUAUCACUUAAUCGUAUAAUAUGUUUUUGUUUAAUAUAUUGAUAUCAAUGUUGUAUUUUGUUUAGGUGUCUUUCACACAUGUGUGUAACACUAUAUAGUCUGAUCACAUAUAGAAAUAACAUGUUUGUAAUGUACAUGUAUCUUAUUAUAUUAUAUUGUAAUAUAUUAUGUCUCUUAUACAUUAUUUAAUUUCUUUGAAGGUUGACUUUUGUAGCUGCAAUUUUCGUGUUAUUGAGUUGUAUUUAAUGCUUCCUUAGAUGAAAUUAUAGUGCUUCCGAUAAUACACAAGUGAUCUCUUGAGAUAAUUCUUACAAAGCGAUGGACAUUGUUUAUGUUUGUUAUCUAUAUGUUGAAAAGCCUUCUCCACAAUAUUAGAUUAUGUUUGUCAAUCAUAUUGAUAAACUUCAAAUAUUGUUAUAUGUAUAAAAUGUUCAUCAUAUAAAGAUUUGUAUAUAUAUGUGCCUUAUGGGCUUUUAAGCCUUAAAGUUGUUUGUUUUUCUUCAAUAUUUUGUUUUUAUUGAAUAUAUCUAUA